ACGUAGGGUGCGAGCGUUAAUCGGAAUCACUGGGCGUAAAGGGUGCGUAGGCGGACUUGUAAGACAGAUGUGAAAUCCACGGGCUUAACCUUGGAACUGCGUUUGUGACUGCGAGACUUGAGUGCAGCAGAGGGGGAUGGAAUUCCACGUGUAGCAGUGAAAUGCGUAGAGAUGUGGAGGAACACCGAUGGCGAAGGCAGCCCCCUGGGUCGACACUGACGCUCAUGCACGAAAGCGUGGGGAGCAAACAG
rnacentral:rRNA from 1 species